UUCGCAAUGCCCGAAAGGGUGACGAAGCGACGCCGCGUGUGGGAAGAAGGCCUUCGGGUUGUAAACCACUGUCGGGAGUUAGGAAAUGUGAGGGUGCUAAUAGUAUCCUUACUUGACUAAGGCUCCGGAGGAAGCCACGGCUAACUCCGUGCCAGCAGCCGCGGUAAGACGGAGGUGGCAAGCGUUGCUCGGAAUCACUGGGCAUAAAGGGCGCCUAGGCAGUGCGGCAAGUCGACUGUGAAAUCCCUCGGCUCAACCGAGGAAGUGCAGCCGAAACUGCCGUGCUAGAGGACGAGAGGGGAGAGUGGAACUCCUGGUGGAGCGGUGAAAUGCGUAGAUAUCAGGAGGAACGCCGGUGGCGAAAGCGACUCUCUGGCUCGUUCCUGACGCUGACGCGCGAAAGCUAGGGGAGCGAACGGGAUUAGAUACCCCGGUAGUCCUAGCCGUAAACG
rnacentral:rRNA from 1 species